AGAAUUGGAUCGUAAAGGUGGUUGCAGGUAUUCAGAUACUGGAAUGCUGUGAAAUGGCCCUGUUGACCUGUUGGGACAUUCUACUGGGGGAACAUCAAAUGGUGUGUGGAGGGAGAUGAAAUGAAAUGAAGUUUCGAUUCGGUGUGACUGAUAGUAUUGCCUAUUGGAGUGGUGUGGAUAAUGAUGAUUCUAGUAAAUUAUGUUAUGAUGAUGCAUGGACUGUGAUGAUGUUGGUGAAGCUUGAUUUUUAAUAUAGAUAUAUAGUGAUGAAACUGCUGAUACUGUAUACAGUAUAAGUUGUAAAAUGGUACCGUAUAUACAGUGAUACAAAGAGUAUACAAAAAGUAGAGUUGAUAAUUGGUUAAAGAAGGUUAAUUUUAGGUGUUUAAUUAACUUGAUUCCAUAUACACCAAAAUGACAAUGGUAUCCAACAAGCUGUAUCUUGUAAAUAGGGCUAAACAUUUCAUUGUAAUUAAAACAGUCAGAGAAUGAAUUACAGUCACAGUAUUGCACAAGUUUGAAACUUGACCUACAAACUAAUCAACUG